UUAAGUUACAUUUAUCUCAAUUAAGUGUUUAUGCAUCAUUGAAACAUAAAGAAGUAGUCAGCAAACCUUUGCUAGUGUUUCUUAUGACUUAUUUAAAGGUCCAGUGUGUAGGAUUUAGGGAAUCGAUUGGGAGAAGUCAAAAGUAAGAUUUGUAAUUACUGAAUGACUUUUUAAUCAUCUAAAUAUAAUUUACAAUCACCAUAAAAUAAUUAAUCAUUAUUGUAAAUUAAUUAUAAUUGUGUUUUUGGGAACUUAGCAGGAGUCCACAGUCCCCUUCAAUCCCCAGGUCUUCCCACUGUCCUCCUCCUGCAGGCUUCUCUGCCCUGAAAGUCUCUUUGUUUUGCCUCUGUGCUGUAAACACCAUCACAAUGUGAUGAAAGGGCAAAAACACGAGGAGCUUGUCAGUUUCAAUUAGUGGAGACAAUAGUCUGCUGAGAAAAAUGUUUUCCACGUAAUAGAGUAACUCUGGUGAAUGAGCUUCUCACAGCAGCCCAUUGUGGAUGGAACAUAUUUUGUAAUAAGUAGGACUAAAUGGCUAAUGCAUGAGCAGCACAUUCUCCUCAAUUAAUUUAAAACUAACCUAAGGUUUUUAAAUGCAACCUAAAGGGUUGCAAUCUCACUUGCAUUACUUCUUGUGUGUAAAAAUUGAAGUAACACAUUUUGAUUUAAUUGAAAACGAAUAUUGUGGAAAUUUCAGAGUUUACAUUCUUAUUAAAACUCACCACAGUGCCUAUAGAUGAAUGCAUUAUUAGGCCUCUGAUCAUAACAUGUUCAAGACAGCAUUCAACUUCAAUGCAUAUGAAGGAUUGUCUUCAUUAUAUUUCUCUCAAGUUUCCCAAAUGUCCUCAUUUGCACACAGAAACACCUGCAGGGAUUCCACCACUGAGCCUACCGGGUAAAGCACUUUAUAUGGAAGUGGUUGGCCUGGACUCGCAGCACCUCUCCCUUGCAACGCUCCCCACAUCUGAAGCACUGGAUGAUCCGCUUCCCCGCUGGAGAACUCGGGUGGCAGCCAUCCUGACAGAAGCAGCAGAAGCAGCAGACGGAUGCCUGUACAAUCUAAUCACAGCCCACUUGAAAGGUCCUGAAUGUGGUUAGUAGAGGAGAGAAGAAGGGAAAGAAUGUGGCACAUUGAGAGGCCUCUGACUCCCAGUGUGUGGACACAUGGCAUACAAACAGAUAAACAGACAUAAGCUUCAUCUUUGCCUUAUUAUUUAAUGCAGUUUAUACAAAUGUAUACAAAAUACAGGAA